UACGUACUCCUUCCGUUCGGAAUUACUUGUCACGGAAAUGAAUGUAUCUAGACAUAUUUUAGUUCUAGAUACAUCCAUUUCCGAGACAAGUAGUUCCGAACGAAGGGAGUAGAUG
rfam:Triticum aestivum genome assembly, contig: Triticum_aestivum_CS42_TGACv1_scaffold_031351_1BL